rnacentral:lncRNA from 1 species
GAGGGUAGUGAUUAUGAGGUUGGACCCCGGAGUUAGACAGUCUGGGUGCAAAUGCUGUAUGACCUUGGACAAAGCAUGGCACCCGAGUUUUCUCACCAACAAAAUGAGGGGAAAAAAGGAAAAUGAAGUCCUAUUAAUAUGUUUAUGAUAGGAAGAAUAAUUAGAAAAGUAGAAUAAAAAAACUGAAGCAUGGUGAAAUCACAGUGUGUGAAUAUAUGCAAAGGAUACUCAAAGGUCAAGAAAAGUUCAAGAAUUGUCUCUGCAUGAUAGGGAAAUGCAACUUGCUCUGCCCGACGCCUAGAGUCUCUGGCUGCAGGUCUGGUCCUGGCCCCCUAGGAGGACUUCCCGAGGUCUUAGAUGGAGAGUGGCAGGGACAACCAUGCUUAGGUUGAGGCCUAUGAAAGGAGUGUUUUCAGCAGCAGAGCCACCAAACUAACAAGUCACUGAAUUUUAAAACUCUGGCCACGUGGCUUAGAGGACUCUGGGCAUUGCCCCUUUGCUACCAGCUCCAAAGAUCUGGGAAGAUCUCAUUUGGAUUAGUGACCACGGUUUGUGGGAAUCUUCGCAACCCAAAAAAGGCUGUUUAAAACAGGGGAAACACUGAGCUCUGGAAAUGGUUUAUUUGGCCAUCAGAAUUUUUUUUUUUUUUAAUGACCACCAUUUAAAAAUUCUUUUCAUAAAGUCCCAAAUUUUGGGGUUCCCUGGUGGUCUAGGGGUUAGGAUUUUGCACUUUUCAUUGCUGUGACCCAGGUUCAGUCCCUGGUCUGGAAACUUCCACAAGACAUGGGCAUGGCCACAAUUUUAAAAAAUAAAGUAGGGAGUUCCCAUUGUAGCUCA